GAUGAAGAACGCAGCGAAAUGCGAUACGUAAUGUGAAUUGCAGAAUUCAGUGAAUCAUCGAGUCUUUGAACGCACAUUGCGCCCCCUGGUAUUCCGGGGGGCAUGCCUGUCCGAGCGUCAUUGCUGCCCUCAAGCACGGCUUGUGUGUUGGGCCUCCGUCCUCCUCCCGGGGGACGGGCCCGAAAGGCAGCGGCGGCACCGCGUCCGGUCCUCGAGCGUAUGGGGCUUCGUCACCCGCUCUUGUAGGCCCGGCCGGCGCUUGCCGACACAUCAAUCUUUUUUCCAGGUUGACCUGGAUCAGGUAGGGAUACCCGCUGAACUUAAGCAUAUCAAUAAGCGGAGGA
rnacentral:misc_RNA from 1 species